ACGAACGCUGGCGGCGUGCUUAACACAUGCAAGUCGAACGGUGAAGCCCAGCUUGCUGGGUGGAUCAGUGGCGAACGGGUGAGUAACACGUGAGCAACCUGCCCUCCACUUCGGGAUAAGCCUUGGAAACGGGGUCUAAUACCGGAUAUGAGCACUCAUCGCAUGGUGGGUGUUGGAAAGUUUUUCGGUGGGGGAUGGGCUCGCGGCCUAUCAGCUUGUUGGUGGGGUGAUGGCCUACCAAGGCGUCGACGGGUAGCCGGCCUGAGAGGGCGACCGGCCACACUGGGACUGAGACACGGCCCAGACUCCUACGGGAGGCAGCAGUGGGGAAUAUUGCACAAUGGGCGCAAGCCUGAUGCAGCGACGCCGCGUGAGGGAUGACGGCCUUCGGGUUGUAAACCUCUUUCAGCAGGGAAGAAGCGCAAGUGACGGUACCUGCAGAAGAAGCGCCGGCUAACUACGUGCCAGCAGCCGCGGUAAUACGUAGGGCGCAAGCGUUGUCCGGAAUUAUUGGGCGUAAAGAGCUCGUAGGCGGUUUGUCGCGUCUGGUGUGAAAUCCCGAGGCUCAACUUCGGGCUUGCAUCGGGUACGGGCAGACUAGAGUGCGGUAGGGGAGACUGGAAUUCCUGGUGUAGCGGUGGAAUGCGCAGAUAUCAGGAGGAACACCGAUGGCGAAGGCAGGUCUCUGGGCCGCAACUGACGCUGAGGAGCGAAAGCAUGGGGAGCGAACAGGAUUAGAUACCCUGGUAGUCCAUGCCGUAAACGUUGGGCACUAGGUGUGGGGCUCAUUCCACGAGUUCCGUGCCGCAGCUAACGCAUUAAGUGCCCCGCCUGGGGAGUACGGCCGCAAGGCUAAAACUCAAAGGAAUUGACGGGGGCCCGCACAAGCGGCGGAGCAUGCGGAUUAAUUCGAUGCAACGCGAAGAACCUUACCAAGGCUUGACAUGUACGGGAAUACGCUAGAGAUAGCGGACUCUUUGGACACUCGUACACAGGUGGUGCAUGGUUGUCGUCAGCUCGUGUCGUGAGAUGUUGGGUUAAGUCCCGCAACGAGCGCAACCCUCGUCCUAUGUUGCCAGCGGGUUAUGCCGGGGACUCAUGGGAGACUGCCGGGGUCAACUCGGAGGAAGGUGGGGAUGACGUCAAAUCAUCAUGCCCCUUAUGUCUUGGGCUUCACGCAUGCUACAAUGGCCGGUACAGAGGGCUGCGAUACCGUAAGGUGGAGCGAAUCCCAAAAAGCCGGUCUCAGUUCGGAUUGGGGUCUGCAACUCGACCCCAUGAAGUCGGAGUCGCUAGUAAUCGCAGAUCAGCAACGCUGCGGUGAAUACGUUCCCGGGCCUUGUACUCACUGCC
rnacentral:rRNA from 1 species